UAAGGAAUAUUGGUCAAUGCCCGGAAGGGUGAACCAGCCAUCCCGCGUGAAGGAUGAAGGGGCUCUGCCUUGUAAACUUCUUUUGAAUGGGACGAAAAAGCCUCACUUGUGAGGAACUGACGGUACCAUUAGAAUAAGCACCGGCUAACUCCGUGCCAGCAGCCGCGGUAAUACGGAGGGUGCGAGCGUUAUCCGGAAUCACUGGGUUUAAAGGGUGCGUAGGCGGCUGUAUAAGUCAGUGGUGAAAGGCUGUGGCUUAACCAUGGGAUUGCCAUUGAUACUGUACGGCUUGAAUUAGGAUGAGGUUGGCGGAAUGUGACAUGUAGCGGUGAAAUGCUUAGAUAUGUCAUGGAACAUCGAUUGCGAAGGCAGCUGACUGGACCUUAAUUGACGCUGAGGCACGAAAGCUAGGGGAGCAAA
rnacentral:rRNA from 1 species